CUUCAGUGUGGACUUACGUUUGCUGGACAGAAGCUUCUCAAGAGACUGUUUCCACAUUAGACAUUCCUCCAAGGUCAACCUGCAAAGAUGGCUGCUGGUCAAAUAUCAGGAGAAGCACAGUUCGUGACUUACCAGAAAAUUAUUUUCCUGUGGAUGAUCUUGGUGGUCACUGAUCAUGAUUUUCAGUUUUCUUAACCUGUAACCUGUUCUGAAAGCCUUCCUAUUGUAAAUAAAUAAAUGCAAGCAAUAUGCAACAAUACGUA